UACGUAGGGUGCAAGCGUUAAUCGGAAUUACUGGGCGUAAAGCGUGCGCAGGCGGUUUUGUAAGACAGGCGUGAAAUCCCCGGGCUCAACCUGGGAAUGGCGCUUGUGACUGCAAAGCUGGAGUGCGGCAGAGGGGGAUGGAAUUCCGCGUGUAGCAGUGAAAUGCGUAGAUAUCAGGAGGAAUACCGAUGGCGAAGGCAGGUCUCUGGGCUGACACUGACGCUCAUGCACGAAAGCGUGGGGAGCAAACAGGAUUAGAAACCCCAGUAGU
rnacentral:rRNA from 1 species